rnacentral:rRNA from 1 species
GACGAACGCUGGCGGCGUGCCUAAUACAUGCAAGUAGAACGCACAGUUUAUACCGUAGCUUGCUCCACCAUAGACUGUGAGUUGCGAACGGGUGAUUAACGCGUAGGUAACCUGCCUGGUAGCGGGGGAUAACUAUUGGAAACGAUAGCUAAUACCGCAUAAUAUUGAUUAUUGCAUGAUAAUUGAUUGAACGAUGCUAUUGCAUCACUACCAGAUGGACCUGCGUUGUAUUAGCUAGUAGGUGAGGUAACGGCUCACCUAGGCGACGAUACAUAGACGACCUGAGAGGGUGAUCGGCCACACUGGGACUGAGACACGGCCCAGACUCCUACGGGAGGCAGCAGUAGGGAAUCUUCGGCAAUGGACGAAAGUCGGACCGAGCAACGCCGCGUGAGUGAAGAAGGUUUUCGGAUCGUAAAGCUCUGUUGUAAGAGAAGAACGGGUGUGAGAGUGGAAAGUUCACACUGUGACGGUAUCUUACCAGAAAGGGACGGCUAACUACGUG